rnacentral:rRNA from 1 species
UACGAAGGGGGGCGAGCGUUGUUCGGAUUUACUGGGCGUAAAGGGCGCGCAGGCGGCUUUGUUUGUCAGGCGUGAAAGCCCCCGGGCUUAACCUGGGAACUGCGUUUGAUACGGCAGGGCUAGAGUUCGGGAGAGGAGAGUGGAAUUCCCAGUGUAGAGGUGAAAUUCGUAGAUAUUGGGAAGAACACCGGUGGCGAAGGCGGCUCUCUGGACCGAGACUGACGCUGAGGCGCGAAAGCGUGGGGAGCAAACAGG